UACAGAGGGUGCAAGCGUUAAUCGGAAUUACUGGGCGUAAAGCGCACGUAGGUGGAUAAGUAAGUUGGAUGUGAAAUCCCCGGGCUCAACCUGGGAAUUGCAUUCAAAACUGCUUUUCUAGAGUAUAGUAGAGGGGAGUGGAAUUUCCGGUGUAGCGGUGAAAUGCGUAGAUAUCGGAAGGAACACCAGUGGCGAAGGCGACUCCCUGGACUAAUACUGACACUGAGGUGCGAAAGCGUGGGGAGCAAACAGG
rnacentral:rRNA from 1 species